UACGUAGGUGACCAGCGUUGUCCGGAUUUACUGGGCGUAAAGAGCGCGCAGGCGGUCGUUCAAGUCGAGUGUGAAAGCCCCCGGCUCAACUGGGGAGGGUCAUUCGAUACUGAUCGACUCGAAGGCAGGAGAGGGUAGUGGAAUUCCACGUGUAGCAGUGAAAUGCGUAGAUAUCGGGAGGAACACCUAUGGCGAAGGCAGCACUCUGGGACGGUACUGACGCUGAGACGCGAAAGCGUGGGGAGCGAACAGG
rnacentral:rRNA from 1 species